rnacentral:lncRNA from 1 species
AUGCAACCUCCUCUGCACAUUCAGCGAGGUAGCAGGAGACCUUCUGGAGAUGGUUCGAGCCCACAGCUCCCUUCCAUGAUGAGCCUCCUAGCCCCUAAACUCUUGGUCAUUCAGCAGGGGAUGAGGGUUACUGUGUGCUCCCCGUUCCUCUCGUUAGAGCUGUGGCAACGUGAAAGCAUAGAAAUGGGCCAGUGCAAGUGCAUCACGCGCGACGUCUGGGACCUGCACGGAGGCAGCCAGGCAGCCGGCCCCGGGGCUUGGYGCCGCGCGCUGCAGCGAGCGCCUGCAGGUCAAAUGUGUAGUCAGUGAGGCCGCAGCGAGUCCCCUGUGCRUGCCCUGAGGAGCACAUCGAAGUUAAUCGCUAGAGCUCAGGUGCCAGGUAAGCAAACAAUUUCUCAGACCAAAAGCAAUCAUUUAAGGCAGUUAUUCUAACUACGAAACCAACCAGAAAGGUGGAUUAAAAAAAGGUUAUUAUAUAACCUUUUAACCUCUGCUGGGAGGGGACCAUUUCCUGAAAUUCAAUGGCAACCUGGACUCUAUGACCUGGCGUAGAAAGGGCUUUUUUUUUCUCUCUUUUGUUAAUUAAUAAGCUAUAAAUUUUAACACCAGGUGAUGACUAUGGAUCUUGCUGCCUUUUUAGAAAUGGCUGUGAGAGAGAAAACCACUGAGCCACCUAUGUCAGCCCUUACCUGGACAGGCUGUCCUUGAAAAUCUUCUUGACUAUUUUGUUUUAAUUUGAAAAGUCGAGUACUGGAGGGGCACUCCCGGCACUGCUUAUAGUUUCCCCAGUAAUUAGUUUUCAGACACAUCGGUCCAUAGGCAGGCACUUCUGCCGAGGACUUAUUCCACAGCUGGAAGUCCUCCCACAGCUGGACGAGGC